rnacentral:rRNA from 1 species
UACGUAGGGGGCGAGCGUUGUCCGGAGUUACUGGGCGUAAAGAGCGCGCAGGCGGUCGGAUAAGUCGAGUGUGAAAGCCCCUGGCUCAACCAGGGAGGGUCAUUCGAUACUGUUCGACUCGAAGGCAGGAGAGGGAAGUGGAAUUCCGGGUGUAGUGGUGAAAUGCGUAGAUAUCCGGAGGAACACCAGUGGCGAAGGCGACUUUCUGGCCUGUUCUUGACGCUGAGGCGCGAAAGCUAGGGGAGCAAACGGG